AUAAAACUUUGCUCUAUGAAUCGAUGUCAAAUUCAAACGUCGUCUUCUUUCUUCUGUCAUCCGGGGUGAUUUGAAUGUUUGGAAAUUUCUUCAUCUCGGGGUUGUGGAGUAGAACUCAUUCCCAUUUUCAUGAAGUUUCCAAGUGUCGGUGAAAUAAUCUGAUGUCAGGUGUGGAUUAUCCCAUUCUCCGAGGGACGUCGAAGUUCCCUGUCAGAUGAGUCGAAACCAUUCCAAACUCAUUGAUAUACUGGUUGAUUUACCUGUGGAUAUUACAAGGAAUCAGUGACUGUAUGGUGAAAUUUUCAGAGCGGUGAAAAUUCUUCCAGUUAUACAGUUUAAAUUAUCUAUAUGAAAAUUGAAAUGGAAUCCAGAUGUCCACCAGAGUAAUAAUUGACAGGCCAUGAUGUCCAAUUCUUCAAGUACUUCUUUCUUGGAUGAUGACAUGAAUAAAUCUUCAGGAAUCAUGUCUUCGGUGGAAUUGGGCUUACAGCUGAUCAUCCGAUGAAAGGUGUGUUGCCUAUCUCCAGCAUUUAUUCUCAUCGGUGUUGCAGUAUGGGAGACCUGGGCAGUUGGCAGUGGGUGUUCAUCAUCUUCCAAAUCUAUCAGUGAUGUCUUCAGUUGUGCAACCUUGGUUGGUUGAAUGGGAGACAUCUCAGGCGACAGUGGAACCUCUGCCUCCAAAAGCGAUCCAUCCGGUCGGGUUGAUGGUUGCUGUCCGUCAGCAGUCAACGUUGCCUCCAAUGAACUCAAGGCCCGAGCUACAGUCUCCUUUAAGUGCUCUAUCAUCUGUGACUCGGUUUCAUUUUUAGGGAUAAUAAAAUUCAGUCUUCUCUGAAUGUGUAUUAAUCUUGUUGAAAUCCGAGUAUAUUCCUUCGUGGUGUUCUCAGUGUCAAAGUGUUGAAUGGCUUCCAGCAAGUCGGUGAGUUUGUUCUGACAUGACUCCAUGUCCAGUGUCGGGUUCAUUCCUGUCGGCUGUAGAGGCAAAUUCAAUUUCAAUACCUGUCGUAAUAAACUCCUCUUUAGCAUUA